GUUUGUUGCUCUAGGCCACUAAGUGUUUAGAGGGAUUGCUUACACAGUUACUGAACUAGCCUAUAGUCAGACGAUGGCAGCCCACAUCUUCAAUCUCAGCACUCAAGGGGGCAAAGGCAGAAGGAUCUCUAAAUUCUGAGGCCAGCCUGGUCUACAGAGCUAGUUCCAGGACAGCCAGGUCUACACAGAGAAACCCUGUCUUGAAAAACCAAAAAGAAAAAGCAAAAGCCUAUAAUUGCUGGUUAAUAAAAAGUUAUAUAAUAGCUAUAUGCACUGAAAUAUAUUACUAUAUAUUUUAGUAUUAUAUUUUUAUAUAUAUAUAUAAAAUAUAUAUAUUUUAUAUAUAUACUAUAUAUAUUUAGUAUUAUAUUUUUUUAGUAUUAUAAAUUAUUUAUAUUUAUAUUAUAAAUUAUAUUUAGUAUUAUAUUAUAUUUAGUAUUAUAUAUAUAUAUAUAAUUACUAAAUAUAUUACUAUAUUCAGGAAUACUUUAAGAAAACUCAUGGAAGCCAGGUGCAGUGGUGACUGCCUUUAAUCCCAGAACCUAGGGAGGCGGAGGCAAGCGGAUCUCUGUGAGUUCGAGGCCAGCGUGGUCUACCAAGCAAGUCCAGGACAGUCAAGGCUACACAGAAAAAGCCUUUUUCAAACCAUCCCCCUCCUAAAAAAAGAAAAAGCAUGGAAAGCCAUGGAUUCAUUCACUUCUCAUAAGGGGGUUUUAGCCCUGCCCCCACUGCACAGGUGAUAAAAUUGUUAACUCAUCCUAGGUCACACUGACUGGCUCCAAAUCCCAGCAGUGGUGCCCCAUUGCUUCCGCUCGCCCAGAGGGAGGAAACCACAUCACUCUCAACUGCUGUCUCCAAGGCAGUCCUGCCCCUUACAGAGUCAGUGAGUGCUGGGUGACGAGGAACCGGGAUCUAAUUCCCCAGUCCCUUCCCCACUCCAUGACCUGUCUCCCUCCAUGUUCAGGGUUUCCUCUGAGCUGAAGGAACUAUUUUUCUGUCCUGCUCAUAGCCACCAUCCCAGAAUCCUUUGACCUCAGGUCUUUCCUGCAACCUUUGCUGGAUGCAAGUUCAGGCAAUACCACUGUCCCCUGGAAAGGAAGUGCUUGGGCUUGGCAUGUCAGUACUGCCCUUUGGCCUUGUGUCCCAGGCUGACAGUGCAAAAAAUAAGAAUGGUUUAUUUACCCGGGAUCUUUGAACUUCCACUCAUUCCAAGGGAGUCAAAUCAGAAAACGGAUGUGAAAUGGCCGUUUAAAUGUUAAGAGAAAGAGGGAUGAGGAUGUAACGAUGUGGAGCGCCUGUUCCGGCUUCAGGAGAGACUCAUUUCAGCUUCCGUAAAUGCCAGGCUGGGCGCUGGCCCCAAGGCCAAUUGGAUAUGACUUCAAAACCCUGCAGUUCCUCUGUGCGUGCAUGCCUGCAUGCUUGUGUGUGUGUGUAUGUGUGUAGAUCAGAGGUUAUCCUUAUGCACCAUCUGUCUUUGUUUUUGUUUUUCGAGACAGGGUUUCUCUGUGUAGCCUUGGCUGUCCUGGAACUAGCUCUCUAGACCAGGCUGGCCUUGAACUCACAGACAUCCAUCUGCCUCUGCCUCCAAGGUGCUGGGAUUAAAGGCGUGAGCCACCACCACCACCUGGCUCAGGCUUUGGGGUUUUAAAGAUCUCGUGCCUUUCCCAGCUUGCUCUUCCUGCUUCCUGAUGAUGGGUUCCAAUGUGCCCGCUGCACCCCUCCACCUGCUCUCUGUGUCCCUUCUAUCCCCUGCCUUCAACUCCAUUCUUUAUUGUCACUGUCUUAAGUAUACAAGGCUGGGAUGUCUCGGCUGGUGGAGUCCUCUGUAGCACGCACAAGCCUUAGUUUCAUCUCCAGUCCGAUAUAAGUCAGGCAUGGUGGCACGAGUCUGUCAUCCCAGCCCGCAGAAGAUGAGGCGGAAGGGUUCUGAUUUGCAAACAUCUGUAAUCCCACAACCUAAAUUCUACCAGGAACAUUUUCCUAUUUUUGCGUCAGUGAAUUUUACUAUCCAUCAUGUGUCUUCAUUUUGAUCAGCUCAAGACCCAGAACUGAGGACUCAUAGGUCCCUUCUACCCACAGGAGGUAGAGCAAUGGGAGGCCCUUUUUUCAGUCCACCACCGCAGGCCUUGUGACAACCCACCGCUCACCUCCCUCAGCCAAAGGCUCUCUCAGUGGAGCUGUUCUGGGGAGCACCUAAGCAGCUAAACUCACCAGUGACCCCUCUUAUUGCUAUGGUGGCUGGCCAAGUACAGGGACAGUUUGGUUUAACUUCUCUCUCAUUUUAAAAAAGAUUUAUCUUAAUAAAUAUAUUUCAUAUAUAUUUUUAAACCCAUAGCACUGGUAACCCAGGCAGUCUCCCAUGGGAUCAGGUGCAUACGGGGUCAUAUGGUUCAAGACACAUGCAGUUUCUACAGAGGCCAUAAGAGGGCGCUAUGUCCCCAGGAACCUGAGUUAACAGACGGCUGUGGGCUGAUGUGUAGGUGCUGGGAAUUGAACCUGGGACCUCUGGCAACAGCAGCAAAUGCUCUUACCCACUGAGCCACCUCUCCAGACCCUGCAUAACUCACUUAAGUGGUUCAGGGUGGCCCAGAAUUCAGGUGACCCUCAGCUUUCCAAAUACUGAGAUUCCAAGUGUGAGCCUGGCUACCCAAUCUAAUUUUACCAUUUAUUUAUAGUGUGUGUGUGUUUGUGUGUGUGUGUUUGUGUGUGUGUUUAAAGCAUGCACAUGGAGGUUAUAGGUCAGCCCUGUGGAGUUGAUUCUUUUAUCUCUGUGAGUUCUUGGGACUGAUCUCCCCAGGCCGCUCUCUAUGAAAAACCAUCCAGUCAGUAUUCAGAUACCCUCUGACCAGCAUAGGACACUGAUAAUAGGACCGGGGGCCACCGUGAUGCUCCACAGUGACAUCCCACAAGUGGGAGGUGGGAGGCAGGGCCCCCAGCACAGGCUCACUUGCACUGGGCUGUGCUUCCCAGGCAGCUGGGAGAAGGGCCCUUGCCAGAGCCUCUAAUGAGGCCUUCAGCUCCACCGAGAAGACACAGCUGUCCGAGGGCCAAAGGCCAAGCCUUGGCUGCAUCCACCAGCCCUGACCCCAGGCACUUAGUCAGCAAGAUCAUCACAGCUGCCAGCUCCUGGGGGCUCAUGUCUGCUAACAGCUGGCUCUGGCCAGGGUGUGUCCAGAGCUGAAGAGUGGGAAGUGUGGAGGGACCACGAAGAGCCCACCUAACUCCGUUUUCUCCUUUACUCCCUGCUCUUCCUUCCACUAGGCCUGUCAGCAGAACCCUAAACAGGUAGGAAGAUUGAAGACACCUGUGGCUAGAUUCCUACCAUCUCAGGCUCUGGUUCUGAAUGAAAGAGGGAAACAGAAAGGCCAAGUGACCAUAAGGACCUUGGCAAGGGAUGUCUCUCUGCCUUGUUAGGAUCCUGGUCUCUGGAUGGUACAGCCAAAAACAAACAAACAAACAAACAAAAACAGUCCUGGGAAGAAUGGGAGGGACAGAUCAGGCAAGUACUGGGGUCAGGGGUCAGGCCGGGCAGGGGAAGGAACCUUGACUUCAAGUGAUCGGUCCUGUUCCAAAUCAAGCAAUACACUCACCAGAGCCAGGGGCGGGGAGCCCCUUGGGUGCCGGAUGUGUUCUGGAGAAGAGCAGGUAGGCCGGGAGAAGCAUCGUCUCUGCCUGGGGCUAUUUCUCUGUUCUUUCUUGGUUACAGGCGGCACAGGCCCUUGCCCUGCACCCGAGCCACGAGCCACGGCUGGAUUCCCUUAUUCCCACCUUCUUUCCUCCAGUUUGGAGCACUUCAGGCACUCCCCUUAUCCUCCAUCCUCCUUCCUGGGUUCCCAGCUGGGCCGGAGAGAGCUGAGCCAUUUUCUUUCAAGGAAGCCUGAAAGUUCUAAACAUUGGAAAGGAGUGUGUAUAUCGGGGUGGGGGGGGCGGUGUUGCUGAGCAAGUCGGAAUCUGAAUGCUUCCUUGAUGAGGAUCAGGGAAGACAUGGCAAGUAACUGAAACCCUCGUGUCCUCUUCAGCAUGAUUGACCGCCAGGCAGGUCAGAGGCCAGGUGUGGCUGGGAUAUUGACCUCCAGGUUAACCUACUAGCCAGAGCUUUCAACCAGAAAAUCCUCUAUGAGGGUUAAUGUUCCUUGCCAACUUGUCAGAUCUGGAAUUACCUAGAAGAUAAGCCUCCAGGCACAGCUGUUGGGGAUUAUGCGGCUUCUGGACAGGCUUAUGCAAAGGAUACCUGUGACCUGCUGCUUCAAGUUCCUGAAGCCUAAACUUUCCUGUCAUGAUGGACCCUGAACUGUGACCCAAGACAAGCUGUUCCCGUCCUUGAGUCACUGUGGUGGCUAAAGCUUUUCCAGGUUGAAAUUACUUGAAAUUAAGAGAUCUAAAGAAACAAAAAUGCCCCAACCUGUAAGCCCCACUUGGCAAGGACUGAUAACUUCCUGGAAUUCUGGGGGCUGCUGUUCAUGUAAAAUGACAAGCUAUGUGUUUUCACUUCUGUAAGCAAGCUUGGUUGCCCCAACUGCACAGGACAUCCGUGACCAUCUGAAGGUGGAAAGUUUAUGGGCAAGAAGUACUUGAGGAGCCGGGCAUGGUAGCCCACGCCUUUGAUCCCAGCACUUGGGAGGCAGAGGCAGGUGGAUUGCUGUGAGUUCCAGACCAGUUUGGUCUACAAAGCAAGUCCAGGACAGCCUCAAAAAACCAAAAAAGAACAAAAGAAGUGCUUGAGGACAUAUGCUUGUCCCUGAUUGGACGAAUGUGGGAAGGACAGAACCUUAUGGGUCUUUCCUUUGAGCUCCUGUCUAAUGUAAUUUGAUGCUCUUGGGAGAGUAUGGACCUGGCCAGUGUCCAUCAUCCUGGCCAGUAUUCAAUAAAGCUUGCUUCAAAUUUGGCCCCAAAAA